rnacentral:rRNA from 1 species
GACGAACGCUGGCGGCGUGCUUAACACAUGCAAGUCGAACGGAAAGGCCCUGCUUGCCGGGUACUCGAGUGGCGAACGGGUGAGUAACACGUGGGUGAUCUGCCCUGCACUUCGGGAUAAGCCUGGGAAACUGGGUCUAAUACCGGAUAGGAGCCAUUUUUAGUGUGAUGGUUGGAAAGUUUUUUCGGUGUAGGAUGAGCUCGCGGCCUAUCAGCUUGUUGGUGGGGUAAUGGCCUACCAAGGCGGCGACGGGUAGCCGGCCUGAGAGGGUGGACGGCCACAUUGGGACUGAGAUACGGCCCAGACUCCUACGGGAGGCAGAAGGGGGGAAUAUUGCACAAUGGGCGCAAGCCGGAUGCAGAGACGCCGCGUGGGGGAUGACGGCCUUCGGGUUGUAAACUCCUUUCGCUAGGGACGAAGCUUUUUGUGACGGUACCUAGAUAAGAAGCACCGGCUAACUACGUG